AGAGGACGGUUUGGGGUACAGAAGCAGCCAGCACUGCAUAAUGGCAGGGAGUGUUGUCCCUGCUACCUGGAAAUACUCAGAUCUGCUUUUGCUAGAGGGAAUCUUCAGGCUGCUGCCAGUUGUUACGGCCAUUUUAAACAAAGCUGCUACAGACCUUCAUGUCAGUCUUGGUGGUUAGCUACAACCUCCAACAGGCCCUGAGAUGCUUCAGCUUCUGUCAAGUUGACAUAAAACUAUCAAGCACAGCAGGGCACAACUGUCCAAGGCGCUGGAACUCUCCCAGGAUGAUGGCUUCCCAAUUAAUUUUGCCAGAAGCUCCAAGUUCUCACUGGGUCUGGGCAGCCUCGGCUAACACUACAUGGCUUCUGCUGUGUAUCUACGGAAUGGGAGAACAGCAGUGGCUAAUGCAGCUUAUAUCACUAUGACAUGGAAUGUGCUUUGACAGGGUCCAGUUCAUCAUUAGCAUUCAAUAAAUGUUGAACUUUUAUUAUGUAAUGU